rnacentral:rRNA from 1 species
CUUAAUUCGACGCAACGCGAAGAACCUUACCAAGGCUUGACAUACACCGAAAACUCGUAGAGAUACGGGGUCCGCAAGGGCGGUGUACAGGUGGUGCAUGGUUGUCGUCAGCUCGUGUCGUGAGAUGUUGGGUUAAGUCCCGCAACGAGCGCAACCCUCGUUCUAUGUUGCCAGCGGGUCAUGCCGGGGACUCAUAGGAGACUGCCGGGGUCAACUCGGAGGAAGGUGGGGACGACGUCAAAUCAUCAUGCCCCUUAUGUCUUGGGCUGCACACAUGCUACAAUGGCCGGUACAAAGGGCUGCUAAACCGCGAGGUGGAGCGAAUCCCAAAAAGCCGGUCUCAGUUCGGAUUGGGGUCUGCAACUCGACCCCAUGAAGUCGGAGUUGCUAGUAAUCGCAGAUCAGCAACGCUG